rnacentral:rRNA from 1 species
GAACGCUGGCGGCGUUCUUAACACAUGCAAGUCGCACGGACAGGCCCUGCUUUUGUGGGGUGCUCGAGUGGCGAACGGGUGAGUAACACGUGAGUAACCUGCCCUUGACUUUGGGAUAACUUCAGGAAACUGGGGCUAAUACCGGAUAGGAGCUCCUGCUGCAUGGUGGGGGUUGGAAAGGUUCGGCGGUUGGGGAUGGACUCGCGGCCUAUCAGCUUGUUGGUGGGGUAGUGGCUUACCAAGGCUUUGACGGGUAGCCGGCCUGAGAGGGUGACCGGCCACAUUGGGACUGAGAUACGGCCCAGACUCCUACGGGAGGCAGCAGUGGGGAAUAUUGCACAAUGGGCGGAAGCCUGAUGCAGCAACGCCGCGUGCGGGAUGACGGCCUUCGGGUUGUAAACCGCUUUCGCCUGUGACGAAGCGUGAGUGACGGUAAUGGGUAAAGAAGCACCGGCUAACUACGUG